UUAAUGGUGUCUUUAGACACCACCAUAUAUUGGAAUGAAUAUUUCCU
rfam:Picea glauca, whole genome shotgun sequence.